rnacentral:rRNA from 1 species
GGCGAAAGGGCGAGGAAUACGUUCCUAUGUACCCCGAGGUCAGGGAUAGCCCAGGGAAACUUGGAUUAAUACCUGAUGUGGUCUCCGGAUCAAAGGCUUGCCGCCUUGGGAGCAGGGAACGCCCUAUCAGGUUGUUGGUGAGGUAACGGCUCACCAAGCCGAAGACGGGUAGCGGGUGUGAGAGCAUGACCCGCCGCAUCGGGACUGAGACACUGCCCGGACUCCUACGGGAGGCUGCAGUAACGAAUCUUCCGCAAUGCGCGAAAGCGUGACGGAGCAAUGCCGCGUGCAGGAUGAAGCCCUUCGGGGUGUAAACUGCUGUCAGGGGCUACCAAGUUCUGAGGAACCCCAAAGGAAGGGCCGGCUAACUUCGUGCCAGCAGCCGCGGUAAUACGAAGGGCCCAAGCGUUAAUCGGAAUCACUGGGCUUAAAGCGUACGCAGGCGGAUGCGCAGGCAUCUUGUGAAAUCCCUCCGCUCAACGGAGGAACUGCAGGGUGAACCGCGUGUCUUGAGUCAGGUAGGGGCUGUCGGAACGCUC